GCCGUCCUAGCUCAGUUGGUAGAGCAAUUCAUUCGUAAUGAAUAGGUCGUCGGUUCGAGUCCGAUGGACGGCU
rnacentral:tRNA from 2 species